rnacentral:tRNA from 1 species
GCGCCGAUGAUGUAAUGGUGUGGAGCAUUCCCGCCGACUCAACAAGAGGUGCGGGUUCGAGUCCCGCCUGGCGCU